GAUUGCGGAGUACUUAUAACGCUGCCCAACUUCUUACGAAAUACACCACUGAAGGAGUUGGUCAUCGAUGGUAACUACUUAUUGUACUCUUCAGCACCAGUUGCACAAGGUUGCCGAAAAGGCAAAGGAGAGUGGCCCAAGAUUUCUCACAUCCCAAACAUCGAAGUUCAUAAAGAAUUUGUACAAAAAGACGGAGUUUACCAAAUUGAUGAUGAUGAGAUGCCAAGUGCCGCUUUCACCUCUUGUUCUGGUAUUAAAACAUUUCUCUAAAAUUGUCUUGGGCUAUAAAUCCUCUAUGUACCGACACCCCCAUUUUCAAAUUUCAGGUAUUUAUUACACUGCUUAUACGAUGAAUGUUGUGUAGAAAUUAUAUCUAUUUUAUCUACACUAACGGAAGCGGAAGAAGGUUUUGAUUUUCUUAUGUUAGUAGUUGAAGGUAUUUUCUGGCAUGCAAAGAGGGAAGUCCUAUUUGAAUUCACACUUUGUAGAUAACUUGUCAUGCGAGUACGUUGUACAGUAGGGAAAAUAAUUAUAAUAUCUGAUAUGUAAACAUAUAGAGAUAAUUGUUAUAUUUACAGAAUUCUGAAAAUAAAACUUCAUUAUAAAUUCGAAAUAAAUACAAGUAAAUAAUGAUAAGGAAAAUUAAGAAUA